AUGGCGGCCAUAGAUCUGUAUGGCGCCGCGAACCAGUUCAGCUCCUCAUCGUCGUCGUCCUCCUCGGACCAGGAGCUCAUGAAAGCGCUCGAACCUUUUAUCAGGAGCGCUUCAUUGCCCACCUCCUCCACCUCAACCUCCACCUCGCCAUUUUCAUUCUACGCCACCUCCACCUCCACCUCGUCGCCAUUUUCGUAUUACAGUUCCUCUUCGCUGCCCCAAGAAUCCUGCUACUUCCCUGCAUCCUCCUCUUACAGUUACACCAGGCUUCAAGCUCCGUUUGCUCCCGCCGCCCCUGCCACCUCGUCGUCCUUCUCGCAGCUCCCGCCUCUGCCUCCGACCUCGCAGUACAGCACCUCGCCGUCGGCCACGUACCCGUCGGCGGGUGACGCGGUGGGGCUGGCCAGCCUGGGCCCAGAACAGAUCCAUCAGAUCCAGGCGCAGCUCUUCCUCCAGCAGCAGCAGCAGCAGCAGCGGGGGCUCUCGGCGUCGCUCCUCGGCCCGCGGGCGCAGCCCAUGAAGCUGGCCGGGGCGCCGUCGACGUCGGCCACCGGGAAGCUAUACCGCGGCGUGCGGCAGCGUCACUGGGGCAAGUGGGUGGCGGAGAUCCGCCUCCCCAAGAACCGGACGCGGCUGUGGCUCGGCACCUUCGACACCGCCGAGGACGCGGCGCUCGCGUACGACAAGGCGGCCUUCCGCCUCCGCGGCGAUGCGGCGCGCCUCAACUUCCCCAACCUCCGCCGCGGCGGCGCGCACCUCGCCGGCCCGCUCCACGCCUCCGUCAACGCCAAGCUCGACUCCAUCUGCCAGAACAUCGCCGCCCCCGCACCGUCGUCCAAGUCGUCUCCACCGGACUCGCCCAAGGCCUCCACGUCGACGUCGUCGACGGAGGGAGACGGGUCGGUGCUCUCCGCCGGCUCGACGCCCCUCCCUCCGCCGCCGCAGUCGUCGCAUCACCAGCACCAGCAGUCCGCGGCGCCGCUCCACGAGAUGGCCAACCUGGACUUCUCGGAGGCGCCGUGGGACGAGUCCGACGCCUUCCACCUCCACCAGGACCUCCACAAGUGCCCGUCGUGGGAGAUCGACUGGGACUCCAUCCUCUCGUGA
rnacentral:rRNA from 1 species